UGCCAGCCGCCGCGGUAAUACGUAGGGUCCGAGCGUUGUCCGGAAUUACUGGGCGUAAAGAGCUCGUAGGUGGUUUGUCGCGUUGUUCGUGAAAACUCACAGCUUAACUGUGGGCGUGCGGGCGAUACGGGCAGACUGGAGUACUGCAGGGGAGACUGGAAUUCCUGGUGUAGCGGUGGAAUGCGCAGAUAUCAGGAGGAACACCGGUGGCGAAGGCGGGUCUCUGGGCAGUAACUGACGCUGAGGAGCGAAAGCGUGGGGAGCGAACAGGAUUAGAUA
rnacentral:rRNA from 1 species